rnacentral:rRNA from 1 species
UACGUAGGGGGCAAGCGUUGUCCGGAUUUAUUGGGCGUAAAGAGCGUGUAGGCGGCCAGGUAGGUCUGCUGUGAAAACUCGAGGCUUAACCUCGAGCUGUCGGCGGAAACCAUUUGGCUAGAGUCCGGAAGAGGAGAAUGGAAUUCCCGGUGUAGCGGUGAAAUGCGCAGAUAUCAGGAAGAACACCUAUGGCGAAGGCAGCUCUCUGGGACGGUACUGACGCUGAGACGCGAAAGCGUGGGGAGCGAACAGG